UACGUAGGUGGCAAGCGUUGUCCGGAAUUAUUGGGCGUAAAGCGCGCGCAGGCGGUCCUUUAAGUCUGAUGUGAAAGCACUCGGCUCAACCGAGGAGGGGCAUUGGAAACUGGAGGACUUGAGUGCAGAAGAGGAAAGUGGAAUUCCAAGUGUAGCGGUGAAAUGCGUAGAGAUUUGGAGGAACACCAGUGGCGAAGGCGACUUUCUGGGCUGUAACUGACGCUGAGGCGCGAAAGCGUGGGGAGCAAACAGG
rnacentral:rRNA from 1 species